rnacentral:rRNA from 1 species
GACGAACGCUGGCGGCGUGCUUAACACAUGCAAGUCGAGCGGUAAGGCCCUUUCGGGGGUACACGAGCGGCGAACGGGUGAGUAACACGUGGGUGACCUGCCCUCAGCUCUGGGAUAAGCCUGGGAAACCGGGUCUAAUACUGGAUAUGACUCCAUGACGCAUGUUGUGGGGUGGAAAGCCUUGUGCGGCUGAGGAUGGGCCCGCGGCCUAUCAGCUUGUUGGUGGGGUGAUGGCCUACCAAGGCGACGACGGGUAGCCGGCCUGAGAGGGCGACCGGCCACACGGGGACUGAGACACGGCCCAGACUCCUACGGGAGGCAGCAGUGGGGAAUCUUGCGCAAUGGGCGAAAGCCUGACGCAGCGACGCCGCGUGAGGGAUGACGGCCU